UACGGAGGGUGCAAGCGUUAUCCGGAUUCACUGGGUUUAAAGGGUGCGUAGGAGGGCAGGUAAGUCAGUGGUGAAAUCCCCGAGCUUAACUUGGGAACUGCCGUUGAUACUAUCUGUCUUGAAUGUUGUGGAGGUGAGCGGAAUAUGUCAUGUAGCGGUGAAAUGCUUAGAUAUGACAUAGAACACCAAUUGCGAAGGCAGCUCGCUACACAAUUAUUGACUCUGAGGCACGAAAGCGUGGGAUCAAACAGGA
rnacentral:rRNA from 1 species